rnacentral:rRNA from 1 species
GGACGAACGCUGGCGGCGUGCCUAAUACAUGCAAGUCGAACGCUUCUUUUUCCACCGGAGCUUGCUCCACCGGAAAAAGAGGAGUGGCGAACGGGUGAGUAACACGUGGGUAACCUGCCCAUCAGAAGGGGAUAACACUUGGAAACAGGUGCUAAUACCGUAUAACAAUCGAAACCGCAUGGUUUUGAUUUGAAAGGCGCUUUCGGGUGUCGCUGAUGGAUGGACCCGCGGUGCAUUAGCUAGUUGGUGAGGUAACGGCUCACCAAGGCGACGAUGCAUAGCCGACCUGAGAGGGUGAUCGGCCACAUUGGGACUGAGACACGGCCCAAACUCCUACGGGAGGCAGCAGUAGGGAAUCUUCGGCAAUGGACGAAAGUCUGACCGAGCAACGCCGCGUGAGUGAAGAAGGUUUUCGGAUCGUAAAACUCUGUUGUUAGAGAAGAACAAGGAUGAGAGUAACUGUUCAUCCCUUGACGGUAUCUAACCAGAAAGCC